CAAUUUUAUAUUUUCACUGUGCACAUGAUUAAAUCACGUAGGAUUUGCAUGAAAUUAAGCCACUUAAUAUUUGUUUAUUUCAUUCAAGUAGAUGUAACUCGAUACAAUCAAGCCAGACAGGUACGCACAUUACGUAUCUCGCUGGCAGAAGACCUCGCGAUACCUCACGUGAGAUCACCUGGUGUGACGGAGAAUAACAGAGGAAUGCAGAAAAAAGACGCCGGUUGUGUUCGUUUGAUAAAACAACCAUGUGUGAGGUCAUAGGUCAUCUUGUGUUCUCCAUGACUCCAUUCAGUCUCCUGUUGUAUAAAGCAUCUGUCUACCUUUCGACCAAAACCACCUUUUGCUGAUAGAGUCUGCCCUUCAGCCAAGUCAGAGCCUGCUGAUAAAAGACAUCAUUGGUCAUCAUCAACUGAGUGCAGAAUUCAAGAGAAUCACCACAGUUCCUCUACUGUCGAAGUUCUUCUCAGAGCUGGAUAUUCACUCAAAUCUAAUGAAGGUGUUGAAGAAGAAAGGUGGUGCACAAGGGAGAAAAAUAAAGACCAUCAUGGCACCCAUAAUCCAGGCUGACACUAUCUGCGUUAGAACAGAAUGCAUCCCCAAAGGCCUUUGCAUGUACCUAAAUGAAGAUCCAGAGAAGCUGCUGAAGGAAUAACUGGAUGUUGACACCAUUCAAAUGGCCUUAGCAGAGACAACAAUAGGAGCUUUGGUUGUUCGGCAUGAAGGUGCAGAGCCUGGUGAUGUUGGCAUUGUUCUGGAAGAGGUGGAAGUGAUGGAGUUUGCUUUGCCCAUUGGCUGCCUUCAGUCCAGUCAGGCUCGAGAGGGGCGAAAGACACAGUCGCUUUGCCAGCUGCAAGUGACCGUCUUGGCAGUGCUGGGCUGUUUCUCCUUCACAAGGGCUCCGUUGCUCUGUGUGGCUGAGUUGCUAAUGUAGUUGCGGCUCUGGUCCACCUGGUAGGAGCCCUCGUCACGGUUGCGGUACUUGUACAUGGC